rnacentral:rRNA from 1 species
AUUGAACGCUGGCGGCAUGCCUUACACAUGCAAGUCGAACGGCAGCACGGGAGCAAUCCUGGUGGCGAGUGGCGAACGGGUGAGUAAUACAUCGGAACGUGCCCAAUCGUGGGGGGUAACGCAGCGAAAGCUGUGCUAAUACCGCAUGAGAUCUACGGAUGAAAGCAGGGGACCGCAAGGCCUUGCGCGAAUGGAGCGGC